AACGACUCUCGGCAACGGAUAUCUCGGCUCUCGCAUCGAUGAAGAACGUAGCGAAAUGCGAUACUUGGUGUGAAUUGCAGAAUCCCGUGAACCAUCGAGUUUUUGAACGCAAGUUGCGCCCCAAGCCUUCUGGUCGAGGGCACGUCUGCCUGGGUGUCACA
rnacentral:rRNA from 1 species